rnacentral:rRNA from 1 species
ACGGAAGGCAGCAGUGAGGAAUAUUGGUCAAUGGACGGAAGUCUGAACCAGCCAAGUCGCGUGAAGGAUUAAGGUCCUAUGGAUUGUAAACUUCUUUUGUACGGGAGCAAUAAGACCCACGUGUGGGUUGAUGAGAGUACCGUACGAAUAAGCAUCGGCUAACUCCGUGCCAGCAGCCGCGGUAAUACGGAGGAUGCGAGCGUUAUCCGGAUUUAUUGGGUUUAAAGGGUGCGUAGGCGGCUAGGUAAGUCAGCGGUGAAAUGCAGAUGCCCAACAUCUGACGUGCCGUUGAUACUGUCUGGCUUGAAUGCGGAUGCCGUGGGAGGAAUGUGUGGUGUAGCGGUGAAAUGCAUAGAUAUCACACAGAACACCGAUUGCGAAGGCAUCUCACGAAUCCGCUAUUGACGCUGAGGCACGAAAGUGUGGGGAUCAAACAGGAUUAGAUACCCUGGUA